rnacentral:rRNA from 1 species
UACCAGCACCCCGAGUGGUCGGGACGUUUUAUUGGGCCUAAAGCAUCCGUAGCCGGUUCUACAAGUCUUCCGUUAAAUCCACCUGCUUAACAGAUGGGCUGCGGAAGAUACUAUAGAGCUAGGAGGCGGGAGAGGCAAGCGGUACUCGAUGGGUAGGGGUAAAAAUCCGUUGAUCCAUUGAAGACCCACCAGUGGCGAAGGCGGCUUGCCAGAACGCGCUCGGACGGUGAGGGAUGAAAGCUGGGGAGCAACCGG